GAAAAAGUACACAAGAACUGCUAAUUCUAUGUCCCCAUGUCUAACAACAUGGCUUUUUCA
rnacentral:tRNA from 2 species